CACGUGGGAACGUGCCCUUCGGUUCGGAAUAACUCGGGGAAACUCGAGCUAAUACCGAAUAAGCCCUUACGGGGAAAGAUUUAUCGCCGAUGGAGCGGCCCGCGUCUGAUUAGCUAGUUGGUGAGGUAACGGCUCACCAAGGCUACGAUCAGUAGCUGGUCUGAGAGGAUGAUCAGCCUCACUGGGACUGAGACACGGCCCAGACUCCUACGGGAGGCAGCAGUGGGGAAUAUUGGACAAUGGGCGCAAGCCUGAUCCAGCCAUGCCGCGUGGAUGAUGAAGGCCUUAGGGUUGUAAAGUCCUUUUAACGGGGAAGAUAAUGACGGUACCCGUAGAAUAAGCCCCGGCUAACUUCGUGCCAGCAGCCACGGUAAUACGAAGGGGGCUAGCGUUGCUCGGAAUUACUGGGCGUAAAGCGCACGUAGGCGGCUUUUUAAGUCGGGGGUGAAAUCCUGGAGCUCAACUCCAGAACUGCCUUCGAUACUGAAGAGCUUGAGUCCGGGAGAGGUGAGUGGAACUGCGAGUGUAGAGGUGAAAUUCGUAGAUAUUCGCAAGAACACCAGUGGCGAAGGCGGCUCACUGGCCCGGUACUGA
rnacentral:rRNA from 1 species